CAGCAGCCACGGUAAUACGGAGGGGGCUAGCGUUGUUCGGAAUUACUGGGCGUAAAGCGCACGUAGGCGGCUUGGUAAGUUAGAGGUGAAAGCCCGGAGCUCAACUCCGGAAUUGCCUUUAAGACUGCCGAGCUAGCAGGUGAGAGAGGUAAGUGGAAUUCCGAGUGUAGAGGUGAAAUUCGUAGAUAUUCGGAAGAACACCAGUGGCGAAGGCGGCUUACUGGCUCAUACUGGACGCUGAGGUGCGAAAGCGUGGGGAGCAAACAGGAUUAGAUACCCCUGUAGUCCCUGUCUCUUAUAC
rnacentral:rRNA from 1 species